AAACGGAAGCGGACCUACACCAGCAGGCUCGUGGACGCAUACACACUGAUCCGCGGAAAAACCCAUGAUCUUAUGAAUUAUGAUUAGUCAGUUUCAAUCAUAGACCUAUUAUCUAAAUAGUUAAAUAGUUAAUAGGCUAUGGUUUCAAUGAAACACCAUAAACUUUUCCUCAAUAAUAUAAUCGGUAUGUUAAGGUUAACGUUAACUGUUUAGUGUUUAUUGUUAUUUGUUGUCAGUACUCAGAGUCAGUUGUCACUUGUCCGUACAGUGUACCAUGUUUACUGUUGUAAUAUUUUAAUAUUGUAGUGCCGCUAAAUAAUAAUAUGAUCAGACAUUAUUAUAAUUAAUAUUAUUCUUGUUAAUAUAUCGGGUGUUGUGUAAGUGUCAUUAAAUAAAGAACUUCAAGUCUUCAAACAUGUCAAGUCAACGAAGUGGUUAUGAAAACAGAAAACGUAAAGCCUGUAUAGAAGCAGAACUAGGUAUUAAAAAUUAAAAGUAAAUGUCCAAUAAAACAUUAUUUUAAAUCAAGCACAUCCAAUUUUCAGUUCUGGUUCAGCUAACUCAACAAAUUCCAUAUUCGACAGUUAAAAGAAAAGUGAAAAUAAGGAACUAUAUACUGAUGAUGCUAGUGCUGAAAAUACAACAGAUUCCGUAUUCGACAUUUACUAAGAAAUGUGAAAAUAAGGAACUAUGUAGUGAUAAUGUUAAUAUGGUGAUUGGUGAAUGUAUAUGAUCCAGUUAAUACAUUUUCAGAAAAUCUCUUAGAGUUCCAAAUCAAAUUUUGAAAGGACGUUACACAGCAUUUUGUUUCCCUUGUCGCUGCUUUUA